rnacentral:rRNA from 1 species
UGGGGAAUUUUGGACAAUGGACGCAAGUCUGAUCCAGCCAUGCCGCGUGCGGGAAGAAGGCCUUCGGGUUGUAAACCGCUUUUGUCAGGGAAGAAACGAUACUCUCUAAUACAGAGACUUAAUGACGGUACCUGAAGAAUAAGCACCGGCUAACUACGUGCCAGCAGCCGCGGUAAUACGGAGGGUGCAAGCGUUAAUCGGAAUUACUGGGCGUAAAGCGCGCGCAGGCGGUUAUGUAAGACAGAUGUGAAAUCCCCGGGCUCAACCUGGGAACUGCCUUUGUGACUGCAUAGCUAGAGUACGGUAGACGGGGAUAGAAUUCCACGUGUAGCAGUGAAAUGCGUAGAGAUGUGGAGGAACACCGAUGGCGAAGGCAGUCCCCUGGACCUGUACUGACGCUCAUGCACGAAAGCGUGGGGAGCAAACA